rnacentral:rRNA from 1 species
AGCAUCCUGUCACCAGGUAGCUGCCUUCUGUACCCCCCAUUGUAACACGUGUGUAGCCCCGGACGUAAGGGCCGUGCUGAUUUGACGUCAUCCCCACCUUCCUCACAUCUUACGACGGCAGUCUCUCCAGAGUCCUCAGCAUGACCUGUUAGUAACUGAAGAUAAGGGUUGCGCUCGUUAUGGCACUUAAGCCGACACCUCACGGCACGAGCUGACGACAACCAUGCAGCACCUUCACAAAUGCCUUGCGGCUAACCUGUUUCCAGAUUAUUCAUUUGCAAUUUAAGCCCGGGUAAGGUUCCUCGCGUAUCAUCGAAUUAAACCACAUGUUCCUCCGCUUGUGCGGGCCCCCGUCAAUUCCUUUGAGUUUCACCGUUGCCGGCGUACUCCCCAGGUGGAAUACUUAAUGCUUUCGCUUGGCCGCUUACUGUAUAUCGCAAACAGCGAGUAUUCAUCGUUUACUGUGUGGACUACCAGGGUAUCUAAUCCUGUUUGAUACCCACACUUUCGAGCAUCAGUGUCAGUUGCAGUCCAGUGAGCUGCCUUCGCAAUCGGAGUUCUUCGUGAUAUCUAAGCAUUUCACCGCUACACCACGAAUUCCGCCCACCUCUACUGUACUCAAGACAGCCAGUAUCAACUGCAAUUUUACGGUUGAGCCGCAAACUUUCACAACUGACUUAACUGUCCACCUACGCUCCCUUUAAACCCAAUAAAUCCGGAUAACGCUCGGAUCCUCCGUAUUACCGCGGCUGCUGGCACGGAGUUAGCCGAUCCUUAUUCAUAUGGUACAUACAAAAAUCCACACGUGGACCACUUUAUUCCCAUAUAAAAGAAGUUUACAACCCAUAGGGCAGUCAUCCUUCACGCUACUUGGCUGGUUCAGACUCCCGUCCAUUGACCAAUAUUCCUCACUGCUGCCUCCCGUAGGAGUUUGGACCGUGUCUCAGUUCCAAUGUGGGGGACCUUCCUCUCAGAACCCCUAUCCAUCGAAGGUUUGGUGAGCCGUUACCUCACCAACUGCCUAAUGGAACGCAUCCCCAUCGAUAACCGAAAUUCUUUAAUAAUUAAACCAUGCGGUUUUAUUAUACUAUCGGGUAUUAAUCUUUCUUUCGAAAGGCUAUCCCCGAGUUAUCGGCAGGUUGGAUACGUGUUACUC